rnacentral:rRNA from 1 species
AUUGAACGCUGGCGGCAGGCCUAACACAUGCAAGUCGAGCGGGGUUUUCGGACCUAGCGGCGGACGGGUGAGUAAUGCGUAGGAAGCUACCCGACAGAGGGGGAUACCAGUUGGAAACGACUGUUAAUACCGCAUAAUGUCUACGGACCAAAGUGUGGGACCUUCGGGCCACAUGCUAUCGGAUGCGCCUACGUGGGAUUAGCUAGUUGGUGAGGUAAUGGCUCACCAAGGCGACGAUCCCUAGCUGGUUUGAGAGGAUGAUCAGCCACACUGGAACUGAGACACGGUCCAGACUCCUGCGGGGGGCAGCAGUGGGGAAUAUUGGACGAUGGGCGCAAGCCUGAUCCAGCCAUGCCGCGUGUGAAGAAGGCCUUCGGGUUGUAAAGCACUUUCAGUAUGGAGGAAGGGUUAAGUGUUAAUAGUACUUAACUUUGACGUUACCUACAGAAGAAGCACCGGCUAACUCUGUGCCAGCCGCCGCAGUAAUAC